AUUCUUCCACCCAGCGGAGGCAAUCCGAUCUUCGCCGCAUCUCGACGGUUACAUCCGCCAGCCAGACCCACAGAACCGCUUCUCCUUCCGCAAGGCCUCUCCAUUCCGCAAUGCCGAGCAAUGCCGUCCCAACAACCGCACCCUAACCACCGUCUGCGACCCUUCCCUUGUCCAUGUUCCCUUAACCCUCAACCUUGAGUACCUCCGUGACUCCAUUGCUGUCGUCCACUUCAUCCUCCAGCACUCCCUCUGCUCUGAGAACAACCUUCUCGUUCAAUCCACCUUCUCGUCGUUAAUGGGAUAAUUUCCUACGUUCUGUUCUUGAGAUGGGGAUUGGAAAUACUAUUUGACCUUGCCUCCUUAGUUGAAGAGAUUGUUAGUUAUCUCCUGGAGAAUUCCUCAGGAAUGCAGGUUGGCUAUAUUUAAUUUGGUUCUUGCUUACCAUUUUGAUUUACCUUUUGCACUUUUUUGUUUUAAUUAAUGGAUUCUGAUUGGGUUGAAACGUUUUCUCAGCAUUGAUUCUCUCAGGCACCAAGGUUUACCGGAGAUGAGUGUUGAAGAGGAUUAGAGUUCUUAUUGCACAUUUCUCAUACAUGAUUAUUGAUUAAUUACAUGAUGCAUCAAAGUUGAACUUCAAAGUGUACUACUUCGAUCCCAAUAUCGAUCGCAACCUGAUCUCAACCUGCCAGAAAUUACCUCGCUGACCUUCUCGAAACUUGCGUCAACAAAGUCAUCUACCUUGAUUCCGAUUUAGUUGUCAUCGACGACAUAUCCAAGCUUUGGAGCACCCGCCUGGGCUCCAGGACCAUCUGAGCACUCGAGUAUUGCCACGCCAAUUUCAGCAAGUAUUUCAUGGCGGCGUUCUGGUCGGACCACUGCUUCGUAGGGACAUUUGGGGGGCGCAGGCCCUGCUACUUCAACACGGGGUGAUAAUGAUGAUGAUGGAUCUGGUGAGGUGGAGGACAGAAGGGUACACAAAGAGGAUAGAGAGGUGGAUGGAAGUUCAGAUCGGGUCCUUGCCGCCGUUCCUUCUAGCGUGGGCCCAUCAAGCACCGGUGGAGCCAGCGUGAAUUGGGAGGUGAUAACGUUAAGAGAAGUUGCCGGGACCUCCACGCUGGCCCAGUGAACCUCCUACAUUUGGGAUUAGGGUUCAUCUAUUUAAGAACUAAUUUGAAUUGUUUUAAAAAACUUAUUUUGUCAGCGAUAAGAGAGUGUUACUUGGUGUCUGUCACGCUGGUAGUUAAAGGGACACAUCAACAAAUGUUUGCCAGUGAAGGAGA